rnacentral:rRNA from 1 species
GAUGAACGCUGGCGGCGUGCCUAAUACAUGCAAAUCGAGCGAACAGACGAGGAGCUUGCUCCUCUGACGUUAGCGGCGGACGGGUGAGUAACACGUGGAUAACCUACCUAUAAGACUGGGAUAACUUUGGGAAACCGGAGCUAAUACCGGAUAAUAUAUUGAACCGCAUGGUUCAAUAGUGAAAGACGGUUUUGCUGUCACUUAUAGAUGGAUCCGCGCCGCAUUAGCUAGUUGGUAAGGUAACGGCUUACCAAGGCGACGAUGCGUAGCCGACCUGAGAGGGUGAUCGGCCACACUGGAACUGAGACACGGUCCAGACUCCUACGGGAGGCAGCAGUAGGGAAUCUUCCGCAAUGGGCGAAAGCCUGACGGAGCAACGCCGCGUGAGUGAUGAAGGUCUUCGGAUCGUAAAACUCUGUUAUUAGGGAAGAACAAAUGUGUAAGUAACUAUGCACGUCUUGACGGUACCUAAUCAGAAAGCCGCGGCUAACUACGUG